CUCAGAAAAUGGUGAAUAACAGUAUUUUACCAAAAGCUUCAGCUCCUGCCAAGAACAUAUAAAACUCGAGCCUACAAAUAAAUGACAAAAGAACAGCACUAAAGGCCAAAAAAUUACAUAAGAUCUCCUCCAGAAAUGUCAACCAAACCACAUUUAAGACAACGGAAUCUCCUAAUACUAACUAAAACAAAAACAAACCCACUAAACUUUUUGCAAUGAUAACAAAUAAUUUACUAGGAAAGCGAUAAAAUAUAACCAAAAAUCAAGAUUGAAGACCCACCCCAUUAAUUUUUCAUCUUGAAUUUACAGAUCCAAACAGAAAAAUUAAGAUAUGUGCUUCAAGGACAGAGAUGGGUAGGAAUCCAAAGGAAAAAUUCCAUAUUUCACUUUCUUUCAAUUGUUCGUAAAAGAUCCUUUUACCAAAAAAACGCUUUGUUAUUUCCGUUGGAUAAAAAUAAAAAACCGCAGGAUACAGUUUAUUAGAAAAAUAAAUCACAGGGAAAUUUUGAAUGGACAUAAGCGCCGUCGUUUUCUACAGUACGUAAAUUCAUUGCGAUGGCAUUUGGAGAUGGGUGAUUAGCCUAAAACGUCCUAUUAUUGUGCAUAACAUAUUUAUUUUUCACUUUUUGGCAUUUACUUUUUCG
rnacentral:lncRNA from 1 species